rnacentral:rRNA from 1 species
CGUAGGUGGCGAACGUUAUCCGGAAUAACUGGGCGUAAAGGGUCCGUAGGCGGCUAAGCAGGUCUGGCGUGAAAGCCCUCGGCUAAACUGAGGGAGUGCGUUGGAAACCGCGUAGCUAGCAUCACGCAGGGGGCUGGUGGAAUUCCCGGUGUAGUGGUGGAAUGCGUAGAGAUCGGGAGGAACCUCUAGAGCGAAGGCAACCGGCUAGGCGAUGAUGGACGCUGAGGGACGAAAGCGUGGGGAGCGAACAGGAUU